UGAGUGAUGAAGGCCUUAGGGUNCGUAAAGCUCUUUUACCAGGGAUGAUAAUGACAGUACCUGGAGAAUAAGCUCCGGCUAACUCCGUGCCAGCAGCCGCGGUAAUACGGAGGGAGCUAGCGUUGUUCGGAAUUACUGGGCGUAAAGCGUACGUAGGCGGUUAUUCAAGUCAGAGGUGAAAGCCCGGGGCUCAACCCCGGAACGGCCUUUGAAACUAGAUAGCUAGAGUCUUGGAGAGGUCAGUGGAAUUCCGAGUGUAGAGGUGAAAUUCGUAGAUAUUCGGAAGAACACCAGUGGCGAAGGCGACUGACUGGACAAGUACUGACGCUGAGGUACGAAAGCGUGGGGAGCAAACAGGAUUAGAUACCCUGGUAGUCCACGCCGUAAACGAUGAUAACUAGCUGUCCGGGUACUUGGUAUCUGGGUGGCGCAGCUAACGCAUUAAGUUAUCCGCCUGGGGAGU
rnacentral:rRNA from 1 species